AAUUCAGAUGGUGUAAAGCGUGUGUAGGCGGUUUCUUAAGUCUAUGGUCUAAGCCCGGAGCUAACUCCGGUUCGCCAUGGAAACUGAGUUACUUGAGUAUGGUAGAGGCAAGUGGAAUUUCUAGUGUAGCGGUGGAAUGCGUAGAUAUUAGAAGGAACACCAGUGGCGAAGGCGACUUGCUGGGCCAUCACUGACGCUGAGACACGAAAGCGUGGGGAGCGAAUAGGAUUAGAUACCCUAGUAGUCCACGCCGUAAACGAUGGAUACUAAGUGUCGGAAUCUCCGGUGCUGAAGUUAACACAUUAAGUAUCCCACCUGAGUAGUACGGUCGCAAGGCUG
rnacentral:rRNA from 1 species